rnacentral:rRNA from 1 species
GUGAGGAAUAUUGGACAAUGGGCGCAAGCCUGAUCCAGCCAUGCCACGUGCAGGAAGACGCAUCUAUGGUGUGUAAACUGCUUUUGUACGGGAAGAAACACUCCCUCGUGAGGGAGCUUGACGGUACCGUAAGAAUAAGGAUCGGCUAACUCCGUGCCAGCAGCCGCGGUAAUACGGAGGAUCCAAGCGUUAUCCGGAAUCAUUGGGUUUAAAGGGUCCGUAGGCGGUUUAAUAAGUCAGUGGUGAAAGCCCAUCGCUCAACGAUGGAACGGCCAUUGAUACUGUUAGACUUGAAUUACAAGGAAGUAACUAGAAUAUGUAGUGUAGCGGUGAAAUGCUUAGAUAUUACAUGGAAUACCAAUUGCGAAGGCAGGUUACUACUUGUGGAUUGACGCUGAUGGACGAAAGCGUGGGGAGCGAACAGGAUUAGAAACCCCGGUAGUCC